AUUGAACGCUGGCGGCAGGCUUAACACAUGCAAGUCGAGCGGGCGAGGUUGCUUCGGUAACUGAGCUAGCGGCGGACGGGUGAGUAAAGCUUAGGAAUCUGCCUAUUAGUGGGGGACAACAUUUCGAAAGGGAUGCUAAUACCGCAUACGCCCUACGGGGGAAAGCAGGGGAUCAUUUGACCUUGCGCUAAUAGAUGAGCCUAAGUCGGAUUAGCUAGUUGGUGGGGUAAAGGCCUACCAAGGCGACGAUCUGUAGCGGGUCUGAGAGGAUGAUCCGCCACACUGGGACUGAGACACGGCCCAGACUCCUACGGGAGGCAGCAGUGGGGAAUAUUGGACAAUGGGGGGAACCCUGAUCCAGCCAUGCCGCGUGUGUGAAGAAGGCCUUUUGGUUGUAAAGCACUUUAAGCGAGGAGGAGGCUUACUUAGUUAAUACCUGAGAUAAGUGGACGUUACUCGCAGAAUAAGCACCGGCCAACUCUGUGCCAGCCGCCGCAGUAAUAC
rnacentral:rRNA from 1 species